CCUACGGGCGGCAGCAGUGGGGAAUAUUGGACAAUGGGCGCAAGCCUGACCCAGCAACGCCGCGUGAAGGAAGAAGGCUUUCGGUUUGUAAACCUCUUUUCUCAGGGACGAAGAAAGUGACGGUACCUGAGGAAUAAGCCACGGCUAACUACGUGACAGCAGCCGCGGUAAUACGUAGGUGGCAAGCGUUCUCCGGAUUUAGUGGGUGUAAGGGGCGUGUAGGCGGGAGCGCAAGUCAGAUGUGAAAUCUCAGGGCUCAACCCUGGGCCUGCAUUUGAAACUGUGUAGCUUGAGUGCUGGAGAGGCAAGCGGAAUUCCGGGUGUAGCGGUGAAAUGCGUAGAUAUACGGAGGAACACCAGUGGCGAAGGCGGAUUGCUGGACAGUAACUGACGCUGAGGCGCGAAAGCGUGGGGAGCAAACAGGAUUAGAUACCCUUGUAGUC
rnacentral:rRNA from 1 species